UCAAAGGUGACAUCUCUAAGCGAUGCCUCAGAGAUGACAUCUACAAGAAAUGUCACAGAGAUAUUGUGACAUCUAAAUGAGAUGACUCAGAGGUGACAUCUAUAAGAGAUGCUGCAAAGGUGAAAUCUACAAGAGAUGCCUCAAAGGUGACAUUUACAAAGAUGCUUCAGAGAUGUCAUCUACAAGAGAUGCUCGGGGGUGAAAUCUACAAGAAAUGUCACAAAUAUGCCUCAGAGGUGACAUCUACAAGAGAUGCUGCAGACGUGCAAUGUUCAGGCCAGUGGCCACAGCUUGUAUAUAUGGCCUCAUGUGCUUGGGACUUCAGUGCAUCAACUCAAGCCUCAGCCCAUUACAGAGAGUACCAAAGAAAAGAGUGAUCAACAGUAUCAAAAAUUUCAGAGAGGUUAAGGAGAAUGAGGAUUGCAUCUGGCAAUUAAAAGAUUAUUAGUAAUUUUGGAGACAAUUUUAGGGGAAUGAAGACAUCAUAUGAAGUACCAGGCUGGACAAAUGAAAAGAUUUAUGAUUGCCAGAAGAAAUACCAACAAUCUCAGAUAUAUAGGGGAUGAUUCUCUGCUAUCAGAGGUGAAGAAUUGAAGCAAAGAAUUAAGAAGUCUCUUGAUAAGGGUGAAAGAGGAAAGUGUAUAUGGCUUGAAACAACAUUAAAAAAAAUUAAGAUCAUGUUAAUGGGUCAAACUUAAACCCAUUGGUUCUAUG